AACCUCUUGGAAGCUCCUGUCUGUGAAGGGUGUGCACAGAGAGCUUCGGUAGCCUGCGAAGCAGCCAUUUUCACUUCCACGGAGCAGAUGCUGGCCUGGGUGCUGGAAUAUGGAAAUGAGGAAGAUCCUGCCUGAGGAUUUCAUGACAGGUGAGGGGGAGAGAGGCCUGAGGAAGUUACCACCGGGGAAGGUGACAAGUGCAGUGAUAGGAUAAAUACGAAGUGCAAAGAGAAGACAGACAAGAAGUUCAGCUAGCUAAGAAAUGUGUUAAUAACACCUUGAUCAAUCAUUCCUCCACUUUUUUUUUCUUUUGAGAGUCUCAUUCUGUCACCCCACCCAGAGUGCAGUGGCAGGAACACAACUCAUUGCUACUUCAACUUUCUGGGCUCAAGCGAUCCUCCUGCCUCAGCCUCCUGUGUAGCUGGGGCCACGUGUAUUGCACCACCAAGCCUGGCUUAUUUUUUAAUUUCUUUUGUAAAGACAGGGUCUCACUAUGUUGCCCAGACUGGUUUCAAACUCUUGGACUUAAGCAAUCCUCUCAUCUUUGCCUCCCAAAGUGCUGCGAUUACCGACGUGAGCCACUGUGCCCAGCCUCACUUUAAAAAAAAAAAAAGGUUAUGAAGCAUCUCAACACAAGACCUCCUUUGCUCAUCACAACCACCCAGUGAAGCAGGCAAGACAACAGAAACUCCCCACCUGUGAUAGAUGUGAGGCCUGAAGUCUCCCACAUACCCACGGCAGAUGCAACGCACAGCGGUGACCAAUGGUGAAGGAUCUAAAACCUGAAAAGAGGCCAAAUGAUUCCUCAAAACCACGCAAGUACGAAGUAGCAGAGCGGAUCUCAAAUCCAGAAUACUACUAAAGUCAUGCCGUGUGACUUCUGAAGCUAGCUCCUAAGAAGUCCUUGCAGCUUCUGCCUGCGACUCUUAGAACACUUGCUUUGAAGGAUGCCAGAUGCUGUCUUAAAAGUCUGAGCACUCUGAAACCAUCAUGCUGUGAGGAAGCCCAAGCUAACCACAUGGGCAAAAAAGAUGCCCUCUGACUGCCACCAUUUGAGACACUCUAAUUAAGAACUGCCUCAUUGAGCCCAUGAGGCCCUGUGAAUGAUAAUAAUAAAUUGUUUUUAACCACUAUGUUUUUGGAUUUGUUAUAAGUUUAUAGAUAACAAGAAAAAGUUAUAUUAGCAUGGUAAUAAAAUUAUGGAUAUGU
rnacentral:lncRNA from 1 species